rnacentral:piRNA from 1 species
GGACCUUGAAAGACUUUCUGACCAAUACAGC